rnacentral:rRNA from 1 species
CCUACCAAGACUAUGAUCAAUAGCUGAUCUGAGAGGAUGAUCAGCCACAUUGGGACUGAGACACGGCCCAAACUCCUACGGGAGGCAGCAGUAGGGAAUAUUGCACAAUGGAGGAAACUCUGAUGCAGCGAUGCCGCGUGAGUGAAGAAGGCCUUUGGGUUGUAAAGCUCUUUCGUCGGGGAAGAAAAUGACUGUACCCGAAUAAGAAGGUCCGGCUAACUUCGUGCCAGCAGCCGCGGUAAUACGAAGGGACCUAGCGUAGUUCGGAAUUACUGGGCUUAAAGAGUUCGUAGGUGGUUAAAAUAGUUGGUGGUGAAAUCCCAGAGCUUAACUCUGGAACUGCCAUCAAAACUUUUUAGCUAGAGUAUGAUAGAGGAAAGCAGAAUUUCUAGUGUAGAGGUGAAAUUCGUAGAUAUUAGAAAGAAUACCAAUUGCGAAGGCAGCUUUCUGGAUCAUUACUGACACUGAGGAACGAAAGCAUGGGUAGCGAAGAGGAUUAGAUACCCUCGUAGUCCAUGCCGUAAACGAUGUGUGUUAGACGUUGGAAAUUUAUUUUCAGUGUCGCAGCGAAAGCAAUAAACACACCGCCUGGGGAGUACGACCGCAAGGUUAAAACUCAAAUGAAUUGACGGGGACCCGCACAAGUAGUGGAGCAUGUGGUUUAAUUCGAAGAUACGCGCAGAACCUUACCAACACUUGACAUGUUCGUCGCGACUUUAAGAGAUUAAAGUUUUCGGUUCGGCCGGACGAAACACAGGUGCUGCAUGGCUGUCGUCAGCUCGUGUCGUGAGAUGUUGGGUUAAGUCCCGCAACGAGCGCAACCCUCACUUUUAGUUGCCAUCAUUUAGUUGGGCACUCUGAAAGAACUGCCGGUGAUAA